CCCCUUCUGUUCAGAGGCCGUGACACCGCCCUUUCACGGCGGUAACAGGGGUUCGAAUCCCCAGGGGACGCC
rnacentral:tRNA from 1 species